UGGGUAACCUGCCUCAAAGAGGGGAAUAGCCUCCGAAAGGGAGAUUAAUACCGCAUAAUAUGUUUAGGUCGCAUGACUUUAACAUCAAAGGAUUUUCUUUUAGAAAUUCCACUCUGAGAUGGACCCCGCGGCGCAUUAGCUAGUUGAUGAGGUAACGGCUCACCAAGGCAACGAUGCGUAGCCGACCUGAGAGGGUGAUCGGCCACAUUGGAACUGAGACACGGUCCAGACUCCCGUACGGGG
rnacentral:rRNA from 1 species